rnacentral:rRNA from 1 species
CUCAAAUUUGAAAUCUGGCUCCUCCGGGGUCCGAGCUUCGGGUGCGGUCCCCGUCUAAGUACCCUGGAAUGGGUCGUCAUAGAGGGUGAGAAUCCCGUCUGGGACGGGUGGCCGUGUCCGUGUGAAGCUCCUUCGACGAGUCGAGUUGUUUGGGAAUGCAGCUCUAAAUGGGUGGUAAAUUUCAUCUAAAGCUAAAUAUUGGCCGGAGACCGAUAGCGCACAAGUAGAGUGAUCGAAAGAUGAAAAGCACUUUGAAAAGAGAGUUAAACAGCACGUGAAAUUGUUGAAAGGGAAGCGCUUGGACCAGACUCGCCCGCGGGGGUUCAGCCGGUACUCGUACCGGUGUACUCCCCCGUGGGCGGGCCAGCGUCGGUUUGGGCGGCCGGUCAAAGGCCUCCGGAAUGUAUCGCCCUUCGGGGCGUCUUAUAGCCGGGGGUGCAAUGCGGCCAGCCUGGACCGAGGAACGCGCUUCGGCUCGGACGCUGGCGUAAUGGUCGUAAGCGGCCCGU